UCAGAUUUCCCAUUCUUUUUUGCGUCCUUGGGUGUCACCUGACUGCAGAAGGAACAACGAAAAGGAAAGUUUGCUCAACUCCUGCAAUAUCAUGUUGGACCCUUCUCAGUACAAGCAGUAUAUUUGAACAUUAAAGUAGACACACAUAUAUGAUUGCACACCUGCAUGUGUUGUAAUCUCUAACCGUAUCCAACCUCUAAAUUCCCUUGAUCGUCCAGGCUGGAGUGAGCUCGUUAGUGACAGAGUGAAUGACAAAGAGGAAUGUGACAUGAAACCCAAUGCGAUUGUGACAUUUUGCUGUGAGUGUGCUGGGCAUGCUGGUAGCUGGCUGAUGGGUAUCCCUGCAUCAAGUGUGCAAGGAGCAACCUCAGGCUGCAAGAAAGUAAUCCCAAUAGAGCCUCAUGUGAAGAGAAACCUGAAGUGGCCCAUAAGUUACAAACCUGCUGCUGUCAGCUGGUGGUACUCAAGGUGGGUUCCGAGUGCUAUCUACAAUACGCCAGCACUCUGCAGAGGUUCAAGACUGGAUGAUUUUUGGGUUAUGGGCCUUAGAUUCCUCUUCGGUAAUUAGUCACGGAAGCCAACAGUCUGUGCACAGGAAUUAAGAGGGAAAGAGAACUUUAAGGAAAACAAGCCCAUGUGGGAGCAGGGCCUGGGAGGUGGAACAGGGAGGCAUCAAGUGGAAAUAGGUCUGGAUGAUACUGUACAAGUGAAUGGAAAAUGGGUUGAGUUGGUAGCAAUGCCAGCAUGAAGAAUGUAAUGAGAAACUUACAAAAGGAGAAAUAAGAAUGCACAAGUUACCUGUCCUGAAAAACUCUGAAGCACAUGAAUAGCAGACUGAGAAAGCUGCCUCCUCACAAACCCCCAGUUUCUUGGAGGACCUACUCUUCUUCAAUUGGCCUGGGAGCAAUGUGCAUUUAGAAAGUCCUAAUCCAGUUUGGAUUCGUCUUGAACUUCUUGUUAAAAAAAGCCAUCUUGUUUCCAGUUCUGCGCCCUACCCAGCAACAUUCUUGCCACUAAGAUCAGCAAUCUGAUUAUGUAGCUGAAAGACUGUGGCAUUCACCAGAGACAGAGAUGUGACACUGACACACCUCAUAUGCAGGCUAUUUCCCUUGUCCUGUGAAGAUUUGGAUAAGGCAAGAGUAGCUAGAUGCUAACGUUGCAAAUGGCACCCUUAACUAGUUUGUUUAACAAAAGAGAUGAUUUUUUGCUGCUAAUUGCGCCUAUGUGAACCCGAGGAAAACUACCCUGGAUUUCCAGCAUGACUCAAAAGAGCAGAACUUCAUCUACUCUUUACUUCUGUUCUCACUUGCAUUUGUCUUUGUCCUAGCUUCUUUCCUCCUUGCUCCAAACCCAUUUUCAUGUUUUAGAGCAUCUUGAAGCAUUUCACAUGUAUAGUUUAAUUAACAGUUUCAGACCAGCCUUUAGAAAUAGGCCAGAAGCCUUUAUCUGACAGAAUAAAGCUAGGGUGUUUUGCCUUGUUGCUUUGAAUCUGAAGGAUGAUGGCUAUCUGCUAGACAAAAUAGAGCAUUCAUGAAUAUGCUGAGCUGAAUAGACCCUGGGACAGAUCUGUGAGGGACUUGCCUGGUAACUUUCCUUCACUUUGACAAAGUUCUCUGUUAUUAUUUCUGUUUAUUGCAUUUUAUAUUUGU